rnacentral:lncRNA from 1 species
AUCACUCACAUUCUCCACCAAGUGCUCCGGCCGGGGAAUUAUGAGGGGUGCAGAGCAGCUGAGGCUCCGUUUGGCACCGCCGCUCCGAGGGCGUCCUGCGCCCUCCAAGGCCCGGUCCCAGGGGCUGCGGGGAAGCCGGGCCCGGGGACCCCCUCCCACCCUGGGCCGAGCCCCCCGCUCCCUGUGCGGCCUGUCCCAGGCUUCCAGGUCUCUGCUCCCGCGCGCCAGGCGGCGCUCCACCUCCGCGGCAUCGCCCGUGACAGCGCCCUGUGGAUCCUCCGCAGUUCCGCGUCCCAGAUUCGGUGCCCCGAACCCGUGCAGACGUGGUCUGUGGGGCCCAGGCCCGCUGGCCCCUGCGGCUCCCGAAGCCGAAGAACUUCUUCAAGGAGCCCAGAAUCCGCGAUCCAGCCCGGUCCACCCUUCAGCAGCGACACUCGCAGCCUCCGACCUCUCAGACCUACUGACCUCUCAGACCCAGUGAGCCCCGCAAAGCCGUCAGGCUCGCGCCUGCACCGCGGGGGCCACGCGGCUCCCGGAAGCCGCUCCCAGGCGGCGCCCGCCGACAGGUGGGGCUGCAGCCCGGGGCAGGCGCCGCUGGGCUCGCCGGUUCUCCUGGCGGGCCCGGGCAGCCCCGGGACCACAGUCGGAAAAUCGCAGGCGCGCAGCCCGCCCUGCCUGAGGAGGGGGGCCAGUCUGGCCACGCACCUACCCUGCUCAUCGUCCGCAGGGAGAUCUGGGGCUGGCACGGGCACUCCGCGGCCACCGGGCUGGCUUCACGGAUGGCCUGGCUUCAGCGCUGAGGCUCUGGCCCUGGGGGCUGCCUGGCUGGUGUCAGGCAGCGGGAGAGGCAAGGACAGUCUGGGGUUGCCCCUUCCCCCACCCGCCCCACCGCUUCCCGUGCCAGGACUGGCAGUUUGCAGCUGCACCUCUGGCACUGGCGAGGGAUGGCGGAGCUUCCCUUGAAUGAUGUCGGGGUCGCCGAGUGCACAGCCUACCUGGUCUGAGGGUCCUCUCCUCCUGGACACCUCUCCGGAUCCUGGACCCUGGCGCUGGGCAAUCCACAUGGAUGAGACUGAUCUGCUGCUGGUGAAGCCGACCGCCUGACUUUGUUGCCUGGGCGACUGGCCCCAGAAUCCGCGCUGCUGGGGAUGGGGGCCUGGUCUGCGGUGUCCAGCCACUCGCUGCCACUCGCUGCCCGCGCGCCACGUCUAGGCUGGUGGCUGCAGCUGCAGCUCCGCACCUGCGGGGGCUGGCGGGCCUGGUACCUGAUAUCAUCAGGGUCAAGUGCACCGCCCACCCACCUGAGGGUCUGCUCUGCCUUGGCCUCCUCCAAGAGCGCAGGGUGUGGCAAUUUAGGAAUGCUUAAAUUGAAGGAAAUAUCCUUUCUCUGUCUUUAAGAAAUAAGUGGCUUUUGUUGUUGUUGUUUUUGUUUUUGCAAGAUACCCAGCUACAGCAGAAAACAAAGGGGAUGCCAAGGUGAAGGUCCACAGCCAGUUCCUCUAUUGAUGACCUCCAGGCAUUAAUGUUCAAUCUAACUGCUUUGGUUGGCACUUUCACCUCAGCACUUACAGAUGCCUACAGAUCUGUUCAAUUGCAUCGCUUGGAUUCUGAAUUAUUUAAUACCCAAUUAUUUCAUAAUUUAAUACCCAAACUAUUUUAACAGUUUACCAUCUCUGCAAUCCUGAAGUAAUUUUUUCUUUGUUUAUAAAACAAUCGCUAUAGUAAAAUCAAAAUCACAAAACACUUCCACAUUUCAUUGGGUCAAAAAAGCAUUAAAACAUUAUACAUAAAAGAUAAAAAAUAUAUUUGUUUCAUCAUAAAACUAUGGCUUUGCAAAAUUUUUUUACAUUUAGCUACAUUCUUACGAUUCUUUAACUUUUCACCGUUAUUUUAUAUAUUUUUAAAACAAUGCAUACCAGUGUUUAAAAAAUAAAUGCAGCAUUUCAUCUAGGGCUGAAUAUGUAACACUGGUCAGCUUUUUCAGCAUCGUGCAGGUGUGGGCCUCAGGCUGCUUUGUACUUACUUAUAUCAAAUGACAUGACCAUCUUAAGUGCACAGAUACCAUCUUCUCGGCUUCUUUCUUCUCCCCCCAAACUAUUUAAUGUUGCUUUAAUGGCAACGUCAAUUUAACUAGUUU